rnacentral:tRNA from 2 species
GGUCGCUUAGCUCAGUUGGUAGAGCGCCACCCUUACAAGGUGGAUGCCAGUGGUUCGAGUCCACUAGCGACCACCA